rnacentral:rRNA from 1 species
GACGAACGCUGGCGGCGUGCUUAACACAUGCAAGUCGAACGGAAAGGCCCGGCUUUGUUGGGGUGCUCGAGUGGCGAACGGGUGAGUAAUACGUGGGAAACCUGCCCUUAAUUUGGGAAUAACUUCAGGAAACCGGGGUAAUAACCGAUAGGAACUCCCGCUUGCAGGGGGGGGGUUGAAAAGUUCGGGCGGUGGGGGUUGGACCCGGGGCUUAUCAGCUUGUGGGGGGGGGAGUGGUUUACAAGGGCUUUGCCGGGUAGCCGACCUGAGGGGGUACCCGGCCACCUUGGGACUGAGGUACGGAGCAGACUCCUACGGGAGGCAGCAGUGGGGAAUAUUGCCCAAUGGGCGGAAGCCUGAUGCAGCAACGCCGCGUGCGGAAUGACGGCCUUCGGGUUAUAAACCGCUUUCGCCUGUGACGAAGCGUGGGUGACGGUAAUGGGUAAAGAAGCACCGGCUAACUACGUG